rnacentral:rRNA from 1 species
UUCCCUUAGUAACGGCGAGUGAACAGGGAAAAGCCCAAAUUUGUAAUCUGGCACUUUUUACAAGUGUCCGAGUUGUAAUUUGUAGAGCUGUUAUCCGUACUGGACCAUGUACAAGUCUGUUGAAAAGCAGCAUCAUUGAAGGUGAAAAUCCUGUAGAUGAUAUGGACUACCAGUAUAUUUGUGAUACGGUUUCUAAGAGUCGAGUUGUUUGGGAAUGCAGCUCAAAGUGGGUGGUAAAUUCCAUCUAAGGCUAAAUAUAAGUGAGAGACCGAUAGCAAACAAGUACCGUGAGGGAAAGAUGAAAAGAACUUUGAAAAUAGAGUUAACAGUACGUGAAAUUGCUGAAAGGGAAACGUUUGAAGUUAGUUUUGUAUUCGUUGGAUCAGCUUCGCAAGGAGUGUAUUCUGAUGAUAAGCAAGUCAACAUCAGUCUAUGAGUGUUGGAUAAGGGUUUUGAGAAUGUAGCAAUUUAAUUGUGUUAUAGCUUGAGACUUGGAUACAAUGCUUUGGAUUGAGGAACGCGUAGUAAGCUUUGAGCGGAUUCGAAAGGAUCUCCUUACUAUGGAUGUUGGUGAAAUAACUUUAAGCGACCCGUCUUGAAA